UGCCUGUACCAUAACCGACACAGGUGGGUAAGUAGAGUAUACUAAGGGGCGCGAGAUAACUCUCUCUAAGGAACUCGGCAAAAUAACUCCGUAACUUCGGGAGAAGGAGUGCCUUAUUCUUAAGGUUGCAAUAACAAGAUCCAAGCAACUGUUUAUCAAAAACACAGGUCUCCGCUAAGUCGUAAGACGAUGUAUGGGGGCUGACGCCUGCCCAGUGCCAGAAGGUUAAAGAAGUCGGUUAGCAAUAGCAAAGCUGGUAACUGAAGCCCUGGUGAACGGCGGCCGUAACGAUAACGGUCCUAAGGUAGCGAAAUUCCUUGUCGGGUAAGUUCCGACCCGCACGAAAGGCGUAAUGAUUUGGAUGCUGUCUCGGAGAGGGGCUCGGUGAAAUAGACUUGUCUGUGAAGAUGCGGACUACCUGCACCAGGACAGAAAGACCCUAUGAAGCUUUACUGUAACUUGAAAUUGAAAUUGGACUUUAUUCGCGCAGUAUAGGUGGGAGGCGUUGAUUAUAAUCUUGUGGGAUUAUUGGAGCCAUCAGUGAGAUACCACUCUUGUAAUGUUAGAUUUCUAACUUUGAAUCAUUAUCUGGUCAAAGGACAGUUUCAGGCGGGCAGUUUGACUGGGGCGGUCGCCUCCUAAACGGUAACGGAGGCGUACAAAGGUUUCCUCUGAACGGUUAGAAAUCGUAUCUAGAGUGUAAAGGCAUAAGGAAGCUUGACUGUGAGACCUACAAGUCGAGCAGGGACGAAAGUCGGUCUUAGUGAUCUGACGGUACUGAGUGGAAAGGCCGUCACUCAACGGAUAAAAGUUACUCUAAGGAUAACAGGCUGAUCUCCCCCAAGAGUUCACAUCGACGGGGAGGUUUGGCACCUCGAUGUCGGCUCAUCGCAUCCUGGGGCGGUAGUACGUCCCAAGGGUUGGGCUGUUCGCCCAUGAAAGCGGUACGCGAGCUGGGUUCAGAACGUCGUGAGACAGUUCGGUCCAUAUCCGGUGUAGGCGCUAGAAUAUUGAGAGGAGCCUUCUUUAGUACGAGAGGACCGAGAAGGACAUACCUCUGGUGUACCAGUUAUCGUGCCAACGGUAAACGCUGGGUAGCUAUGUAUGGAGUGGAUAACCGCUGAAAGCAUCUAAGUGGGAAGCCCACCUCAAGAUAAGUAUUCUCAUCACGUAAGUGAGUAAGGUCACGGUAAGACUAACCGUUUGAUAGGCAUUAAGUGUAAGUACAGUAAUGUAUGUGCUGAGAUGUCCUAAUAGACCGAGGAC
rnacentral:rRNA from 1 species